AUCGUAGCAAACUAAGAAUACUAGGCAUUGCUUUCCGUUAACCAGUGAGACAGUGGGGGAUAAGCUUCAUUGUCGAGAGGGAAACAGCCCAGAUCACCAGCUAAGGCCCCAAAAUGACCGCUAAGUGGUAAAGGAGGUGAGAAUGCUGAAACAACCAGGAGGUUUGCUUAGAAGCAGCCACCCUUUAAAGAGUGCGUAAUAGCUCACUGGUGGAGCGUUCUUGCGCCGAAAAUGAACGGGACUAAGCGGUCUGCCGAAGCUGUGGGUAAUAUCAAAAAACAACGAAAAACUUUAAAAUCUUCUUUUUUACAUCGAUUUUAACAUCACCCCUGGUGAUGUCAGAUCUAUCAGAUGUCAGUAUUUUUUAAAAUGUUUAAUUUGAUGUUACGGUAGGGGAGCGUUCCGCUCUAGGGUGAAGCUCCAACGUAAGUUGGUGUGGACAAAGCGGAAGUGAGAAUGUCGGCUUGAGUAACGAAAACAUUGGUGAGAAUCCAAUGCCCCGAAAACCUAAGGCUUCCUCCACUAGGCUCGUCCAUGGGGGGUUAGUCGGGACCUAAGGCCAGGCCGAAAGGCGUAGUCGAUGGAAAACAGGUUAAUAUUCCUGUACUUCUUUUUAAGUGGUACCGAGGGACGAAGGAGGGAACGGUUGGUCAAUAUUGGCUGUUGGCGGAAACGUUCAAGGUGAUGAAAGAUAGAAUAAAAACUAUUCUUGAGCUGAGACGUGAUACGGUAUUAUUCCCUGUAUGAGAGCUUUGCUCAAAUUCAAAAUAAUACUCAACUAGUUGUCAAACUUCCUAGAAAAGCUCGAACUUCCAAUACUUAAAAAUAACCCGUACCCGAAACCGACACAGGUAGGUAGGUAGAGUAUACCAAGGGGCGCGAGAUAACUCUCUCUAAGGAACUCGGCAAAAUGGCCCCGUAACUUUCCGGGAGAAGGAAAAC
rnacentral:rRNA from 1 species